CGAUUCUGGCUCAGGAUGAACGCUAGCGACAGGCUAACACAUGCAAGUCGAGGGGCAGCAUAGAAGUAGCAAUACUCGGUGGCGACCGGCGCACGGGUGAGUAACGCGUAUGCAACCUACCUAUCAGGAGGGGAAUAACCCGGCGAAAGUCGGACUAAUACCGCAUAAAACAGGGGCACCGCAUGGUGAUAUUUGUUAAAGAAAUUCGCUGAUAGAUGGGCAUGCGUUCCAUUAGGUAGUUGGUGAGGUAACGGCUCACCAAGCCGACGAUGGAUAGGGGAACUGAGAGGUUGGUCCCCCACACUGGUACUGAGACACGGACCAGACUCCUACGGGAGGCAGCAGUGAGGAAUAUUGGUCAAUGGGCGGGAGCCUGAACCAGCCAAGUCGCGUGAAGGAAGAAGGAUCUAUGGUUCGUAAACUUCUUUUGCAGGGGAAUAAAGUGCAGGACGUGUCCUGUUUUGUAUGUACCCUGAGAAUAAGGAUCGGCUAACUCCGUGCCAGCAGCGGC
rnacentral:rRNA from 1 species